CUUAGGUUUUCUCAUAAAUUGGGAAAAAUCCAUGGUGUCUCCGACGCAGAGAAUAGAAUUUUGGGGUUUCGAAGUCGAUUCGGCCGCCCAGUUUUCGUUUCUUCCAGAAGCCAAGCUAAAGGCUAUGAAGAAGGAACUGAGACGUACUUUACGGACCACCAGUCUCUCCAUUCGGCAACUGGCGAGGGUCAUUGGUCUCUUGGCCUCGUCCAUUCAGGCGAUUUUUCCGGGACCCAUACAUUACCGAGCCCUACAACGGCUAAAGGGAUCCCACCUUCGCUCGGGCAGUUCGUACGAAAGCGAACUGUCCCU